AUGUGCUGUGACUUCAAGCCAGGCAGUAUGGUUUCUUAUAGACAUAGCAAGAAACUGGAGCAGGUUAGACAGCAGUCUGCAAUGGCUUGGCCAAACCCAGGACUACAUGAACUUUCUUACUUGAGGCCUAAAUGUAAGUAUUUCAAGUGUGAUGGACUUAGCAAUCAUCUAAACACAUAUGUGUGUACAUAUACACAAUAUGUAUACCUAUAUACGUAUACACAUACACUCACAUGUAUGUAUACAUACAUGUGAUGGGAGCCAGAUGAAACAACAUGUGGACUUGCACACAAUAUUGUAUACACACAUAAGUGUAUAAUAUGUGUAGAUUAUAUGUGUGUGUGUAUGUAAGUAUACAGGUACACAUGGCUUUCCUGUAGUUCCAACCUGUAUAAAAGUUAAACAUUUUAUAAUCCUAGGCUAUUCAGUAGCCAUAAUUCAUCUCUGUUGCCUAGAGACUGAUCUCAAGAAUGAAACCACACUCAGACUGUCUCUUUCAGGCAGUCUCUUAGACACCCAACACUGAGGCAGAGAUCCUAAUUCCUGAUUUCUGAGACCCCACAUAACUUACCUGUUAGAUACUGAAUACUGAAGUGUGAAUAGCAGUAAUCGCUCCAUGAACUGCAUUCUAAACAGGACUUUUAAUGGUACUUCUCUAGACUCAUACUGAUAAUAGCUGCAAUCUACUCAAAUGUAAACAAAUUUGAUGUAGCACAAGGGAUUUCUUCUGGAAAGAGUUGUGCACUUGUGUCAACCCUGAAAGUGCCAGGCAUUGCCAUGUAAGAUCACCAUGUCCACCUUAAUGGCAAAACCCAUCCUCCUCUUUUUAAAUAGUAAGACUAUAGCUAAAAUGAUUCUCCAGAAGAUCUGUAUGAGAAUCAAGUUUAUGGCUUUUCAACAGUAAUCAGUUCCAGCAUUUCAGAUUUUCUGCCAAGAAAAUGCAAUUUAUUCCUCUUGGGCAUGCAGAAAAAAUAUAUUUUGGAUCAUUUUCCUAAAGAAGGAUGAUUAUGGGACUUCUCUGCCUGUUUGUUACUUCCCUCCUUGCAGUAGCUUUUGAAUCUAAAGCUUAAUUUCAACUGUAUUUAAUGAGCUAUUCUACCCCCAAACUUUGAUAAAAAAUGAUAGCAGGGAAAGGAG
rnacentral:lncRNA from 1 species